GGGUGCGGUGGCAACGCCGCAGGUCUCCGGAAAGGUCGGGCCGCCUUUC
rnacentral:ncRNA from 20 species